CCUACGGGAGGCAGCAGUGAGGAAUAUUGGUCAAUGGCCGGAAGGCUGAACCAGCCAUGCCGCGUGAAGGUCAGUGCCCUAUGGGCGUUAAACUUCUUUUGUGCGGGAGCAAUAAUGGUCACGUGUGGCCAGACGAGAGUACCGUACGAAUAAGCAUCGGCUAACUCCGUGCCAGCAGCCGCGGUAAUACGGGGGGUGCAAGCGGUAUCCGGAGUUAUUGGGUUUAAAGGGUGCGUAGGCUGUGAGGUAAGUCAGCGGGGAAAUGCCCCCGCUCAACGGGGUGAAGUGCCAUUGAUACUGGCUUGCUGGAAUGCGGGUGCCGUGGGAGGAAUGUGGGGUGUAGCGGUGAAAUGCAUAGAUAUCACACAGAACACCGAUUGCGAAGGCAUCUCACGAAUCCGCGAUUGACGCUGAUGCACGAAAGCGUGGGUAUCAAACAGGAUUAGAUACCCCGGUAGUC
rnacentral:rRNA from 1 species